AAGAUGGUCAAUCAAACCAAAAAGAGCAAUUCAGAUGAUACAUUCAUCUUUUUUUCUCAUCCUUUGGUAUAAUUAAUCACCUCCUAAACAAAUAAUUAAGAUAAUUAAACAACAUUAGAAGAAAAAAUUGGUUAAACUUCAUCUUUAAGUGAAAUAUUUAGAGUUACAACUACACUAGGACUAAGACACGGCGCAAACUCCUACGAGAGGCAGUAGUGGGGAAUUUUCUACAAUGGGCAAAAGCCUGACGGAGUAAUGCCACAUGGAGGUAGAAGGCCUACGGGUCGUGAACUUAUUUUCCUGGAGAAGAGGCAAUGACGGUAUCUAGGGAAUAAGCAUCGGCUAACUCUAUGCCAGCAGCCACGAUAAUAUAGAGGAUGCAAGCGUUAUCUGGAAUGAUUAGGCGUAAAGCAUCUAUAGGUGGCUUUUUAAGUCUGCUGUCAAAUCCCAAGGCUCAACCCUAGACAGGCGGUGGAAACUACCAAGCUAGAGUACGAUAGAGGCAGAGGGAAUUUUUGGUGGAGCGGUGAAAUGCGUAAAGAUUGGAAAGAACACCAAUAGUGAAAGCAUUGUACUAGGCCAACACCAACACUGAGAGACGAAAGCUAGGGGAGCAAAUGGGAUUAGAUACCUCAGCAGUCCUAGUCGUAAAUGAUGGAUACUAGGCGUUAUGCGUAUCGACCCAUGCAGUGUUGUAGUUAACACGUUAAGUAUCCCGCUUGGGGAGUACAUUCGUAAGAAUGAAACUCAAAGGAAUUGAUGGGGGCCUACACAAGAGGUGGAGCAUGUGGUUUAAUUCGAUGCAAAGCGAAGAACCUUACCAGGGCUUGACAUGCCACGAAUCCUCUUAAAAGAGAGAGGUGCCUUCGGGAACACAGACACAGGUGGUCAUGGUUGUCGUUAGCUCGUGCCGUAUGGUGUUGGGUUAAGUCCCACAACGAGUGCAACCCUCGUGUUUAGUUGCCACUGUUGAGUUUGGAACCCUGAGCAGAUCGCUGGUGAUAAGCUAGAGGAAGGUGAGGAUGACGUCAAGUCAUCAUGCCCUUUAUGCCCUAGGCGACAUACAUGCUACAAUGGCCGGGACAAAGGGUCACGAUCCUGUAAGGGUGAGCUAACCCUAAAAUCCCAUCCUCAAUUCGGAUUGUAGGUUACAACUCGCUAGCAUGAAGCCGGAAUCCCUAGUAAUCGCCGGUCAACCAUACGGCGGUGAAUUGGUUCCUGGGCCUUGUACACACCUCCCAUCACACUAUGGGAGUUGACCAUGCCCCAAGUCGUUACCUUAACCAUAAGGAGGGGGAUGCCGAAGGUAGGGCUAGUGACUGGAGAGAAGUCAUAACAAAGUAGCCAUAUUGGAAGGUGCGGCUA
rnacentral:rRNA from 1 species